AGAGUUUGAUCCUGGCUCAGGAUGAACGCUGGCGGCGUGCUUAACACAUGCAAGUCGAACGAAGCACUUUUACAGAUUUCUUCGGAAUGAAGUUUUAGUGACUGAGUGGCGGACGGGUGAGUAACGCGUGGGUAACCUGCCUCACACAGGGGGAUAACAGUUGGAAACGGCUGCUAAUACCGCAUAAGCGCACAGUACCGCAUGGUACAGUGUGAAAAACUCCGGUGGUGUGAGAUGGACCCGCGUCUGAUUAGCUAGUUGGCAGGGCAACGGCCUACCAAGGCGACGAUCAGUAGGGGUUCUGAGAGGAAGGUCCCCCACAUUGGAACUGAGACACGGUCCAAACUCCUACGGGAGGCAGCA
rnacentral:rRNA from 1 species